UGGUGGAGUGAUUUGUCUGCUUAAUUGCGAUAACGAACGAGACCUUAACCUGCUAAAUAGCCCCUAUUACUUUGGUAGUAGGCCGGCUUCUUAGAGGGACUAUCGGCUCAAGCCGAUGGAAGUGCGCGGCAAUAACA
rnacentral:rRNA from 1 species